GGCUGGUCUGAGUGCAGUGGUAUUUACAACUAAUUGAUCACAACAAGUUACAGAUUUAUUUGUUCUUUCUCCACUCCCGCUGCUUGAAUUGACUAGCCUAAA
ensembl:misc_RNA Y_RNA Y RNA